rnacentral:rRNA from 1 species
AUUCCAGCUCUGUAAGCGUAUACCAAAGUUGUUGCAGUUAAAACGCUCGUAGUCGGAUUUUGGCGUGGUACAGCUGAGGUCCCUGAUUGGGUUCCGAGGUUAGUCCCGCCUUUGUGGAUGGGGGCGUGGUGGUGCUUAACUGUAUUGCUGCGUUUCCGCCACUGUUUACUGUGAAAAAAUUAGAGUGUUCAAAGCGAGCGAUUGCCAUGAAUACAUUAGCAUGGAAUAAUAGAAUAGGACCUGAUCCUGUUUUGUUGGUUUGUCGGUAUUAGGUAAUGAUUAAGAGGGACGGUCGGGGGCAUUUGUAUUCCAGGGUUAGAGGUGAAAUUCUUAGAUCCUUGGAAGACAAACAGCUGCGAAAGCGUCUGCCAAGGACGUUUUCAUCG